UACGAAGGGGGCUAGCGUUGCUCGGAAUCACUGGGCGUAAAGCGCACGUAGGCGGCUUCUUAAGUCAGGGGUGAAAUCCUGGAGCUCAACUCCAGAACUGCCUUUGAUACUGAGUAGCUUGAGUCCGGGAGAGGUGAGUGGAACUGCGAGUGUAGAGGUGAAAUUCGUAGAUAUUGGGAGGAACACCAGUGGCGAAGGCGGUCCCCUGGGCCGGAACUGACGCUGAGGCGCGAAAGCGUGGGUAGCAAACGGG
rnacentral:rRNA from 1 species